CGCACAUUGCGCCUGCCAGUAUUCUGGUGGGCAUGCCUGUCCGAGCGUCAUUUCAACCCUCGUUGGCUCCUUUCUAGGGGCUGCCGGUGUUGGGGAUCGCCCGCCGCCCCAGGCGGUCGUCCCCUAAAAGUAUUGGCGGUCUCGCUGUAGCCUCCUCUGCGCAGUAGCUACUGUUCUCGCAGGUGGAGCGCCGCGUGGCCUCGCCGUAAAACCCCCAACUUUCACAAGGUUGACCUCGGAUCAGGUAGGAAUACCCGCUGAACUUAA
rnacentral:misc_RNA from 1 species